UGUGUUGGAAGUUGCGGGGAAUCGAGUCUGGGAGGCGGGUCCGUUUUCAGAGACCCUGCUAGCAGCUAGGAGGAAAACUCCCGUUGAGGAGCCUAUAGAUGUCUCAUAUGGAGCUGGCGUUGGACCCGGUUGACCAUGACCUGCUGGGCUUCCUGCUAGAGGAAAGCGGAGGUUUGGUGGCGGCGCCCGAUGAGGCCUUGGCGGCUCCGCUGGGUUGGGAGCUGCCACUUUUUGAGGCUCUGGAUAAUUGGGACGUAGAGGAUUUCCUGAGCUGCCUGCCGAGUCCACCAGCAUCGUUGAACGUUUUCAGCAACUCUAAUCCCUGUCUUGUCCACCAUGAUCACACCUAUUCUCUCUCACAGGAGCAUGUCUCCAUAGAUGAAGGUAAUGAGAGAUAUGGAGAAGAGGGGGCUCAGACGACUCCAUUGCAUGUGGAGGAGUCGGCAGAGCAGGAACCCCAGGAGAUUGCUAGGCUAAUACUGACUGAGGAGGAGAAGAGGCUCUUGGAAAAGGAGGGGCUUACCCUGCCUGGGACGCUUCCUCUCACUAAGAUGGAGGAACAAGUUCUGAAACGAGUGCGGAGGAAGAUUCGAAACAAAAAGUCUGCUCAAGAGAGCCGCAGGAAGAAGAAGGUGUAUGUGGGGCGUUUAGAGAGCAGGGUCCUGAAAUACACAGCCCAGAAUCUGGAGCUACAGAACAAAGUACAGCUCCUGGAGGAAGAGAAUCUGUCCCUUUUGGAUCAGUUGAGGAGACUCCAGGCCAUCAUGAUUCAGACAGCAAACAAAGCCAGCAGCGGCAGCACCUGUGUCUUGGUCCUGCUGUUCUCUUUCUUUCUCCUUUUCGUACCUGUGAUGUACUCAUCGGACACAAGGGGGAGCCUGCCAGCUGAGCGUGGAGGUCAUGGAACUUCCAGGAAAGACAGAUCCUGGGGAAGGGAGAGCAAUGGAGGAAACACAGAAGGGGAGCCUCACCUGGUAGUCAUGGGAUCCGAUUCCGGAGCUGCCAUGAUUGAAGUGGUAGCAGAGCUGAGCAGAGGUCCUGUGUUUCUGGCAGGGGAGGCGCUCGAGUGUGUGGUGACUGUCACCAACCCCCUGCCCCCCACGGCCACUUCUGCAUCCAGUGAGGCUCUGGCAUGGGCCAGUGCCCAAAUCCACUGCCAGUUCCAUGCCAGUGAGAGUCGAGUAGCACUGCCUCCCCCUGACUCCAGUCAGCCAGAUGUCCAGCCUGAGAGCCAGACUGUCUUUCAACCACACCGAGGUGAGAGGGGUCAGUGUAUCCUUUCCACUCCACCAAAAAUCCUAUUCUGUGACUUGAGGCUAGACCCUGGAGAGUCAAAAUCAUACUCCUACAGCGAAGUGCUGCCUAUAGAGGGACCACCCUCCUUUCGGGGUCAGUCAGUCAAGUAUGUCUACAAACUGACCAUUGGCUGCCAACGUGUCAACUCACCCAUCACUUUACUCAGGGUCCCUCUGAGGGUUCUUGUGCUGACUGGCCUUCAAGAUGUCCGCUUUCCCCAGGAGGAGGCAGUAGCCCCAUCCAGUCCAUUCUUGGAAGAGGAUGAAUGUGGCAAGAAGGACUCAUGGCUCGCUGAGCUGGCUGGGGAGCGCCUUAUGGCUGCCACAUCCUGCCGCAGCCUCCAUCUGUACAACAUCAGUGAUGGCCGAGGAAAAGUUGGGACAUUUGGCAUCUUCAAAUCUGUAUACAGACUUGGCGAGGACGUGGUGGGGACCUUAAACUUAGGAGAAGGAACUGUAGCUUGUUUGCAGUUUUCAGUGAGCUUACAGACGGAGGAGCGUGUGCAGCCUGAGUACCAGCGGCGCCGCGGGGCAGGGGGUGCCCCCUCUGUGUCUCAUGUCACUCAUGCCCGGCACCAGGAGUCCUGCUUACAUACAACCAGAACGAGCUUCUCCCUCCCCAUCCCUCUCAGCUCCACACCAGGCUUCUGCACAGCCGUUGUAUCCCUGAAGUGGCGUUUGCAUUUUGAAUUUGUAACAUCCCGAGAACCAGGUUUGGUGCUCCUACCUCCCAUGGAACAGCCCGAACCUGUCACCUGGACAGGGCCUGAGCAAGUGCCCGUGGACACCUUCAGCUGGGACCUCCCCAUCAAGGUGCUGCCUACAAGCCCUACCCUGGCCUCAUAUGCGGCCCCAGGCCCCAGCACCAGCACCAUAACCAUCUGAAACUGGCCCACGUGGCACUACUUUCUUCAGGAUCCUGAGAACUCAGCACCUGACUCUAGCAAGUGGUUCUUCACAGCAGUGGUACUGCCCCUGAAGGGGCAUUUUGGACAUUUGUGGGGCAUUUUUCAUUGCAAUAGUGAUUGAAGGUGGGUGCUACUGGCGUUUCAGUAGUUAGGGACCACAGGUGCUAGACUCUGCAAUGUGAGAACAGUUCCACAUAAUUAAGAAUAUAUUGUUUUAGGGCUUCCCUGGUGGCACAGUGGUUAAGAAUCCACCUGCCAAUGCAGGGGACACAGGUUCAAGCCCUGGUCUGGGAAGAUCCCACAUGCCGCGGAGCAACUAAGCUCUAGAGCCCGCGAGCCACAACUGCUGAGCCCAUGCACCACAACUACUGAAGCCCACGCACCUAGAGCCCUGCUCUGCAACAAGAGAAGCCACCGCAAUGAGACGCCUGCGCACCGCAAUGAAGAGUAGUCCCCGCUCGCUGCAACUAGAGAAAGCCUGUGCAGAAAUGAAGACCCAACACAGCCAAAGAUAAAUAAAUAAAAUAAAUU